UACGGGGGGGGGCAAGCGUUGUUCGGAAUUACUGGGCGUAAAGGGCUCGUAGGCGGCCAACUAAGUCAGACGUGAAAUCCCUCGGCUUAACCGGGGAACUGCAUCUGAUACUGGAUGGCUUGAGAUUGGGAGAGGGAUGCGGAAUUCCAGGUGUAGCGGUGAAAUGCGUAGAUAUCUGGAGGAACACCGGUGGCGAAGGCGGCAUCCUGGACCGGUAUUGACGCUGAGGCGCGAAAGCCAGGGGAGCAAACGGG
rnacentral:rRNA from 1 species